rnacentral:rRNA from 1 species
UACAGAGACUGCAAGCGUUAUUCGGAUUCACUGGGCGUAAAGGGUGCGCAGGCGGUUGGGUGUGUCAGAUGUGAAAUCCCGAGGCUUAACCUCGGAACUGCGUCUGAAACUACUCGACUAGAGUACUGGAGAGGGAAACGGAAUUCACGGUGUAGCAGUGAAAUGCGUAGAUAUCGUGAGGAACACCAGAGGCGAAGGCGGUUUCCUGGACAGUUACUGACGCUCAGGCACGAAAGCAUGGGGAGCGAACAGG